CCUCCCGUCCUCCACUCCCGAACGCCCCAGCCAUCGCGCGAGCUCCUUUCCUUCGCUCUCUUUCUCUCCUUCCUUCCUUCCUUCCUUUCCUCCUUUCUUGCUUGCUCUCCUUCUCCGUUCCACGGCGCAGCGCUGCUGUUCAAAUGGGUCGGCCGUGCGCGCACACGCACACGUAACGGCUUCGCCUUUUUAUCGUACAUUUCACCUUUCUACUUUGCAAUCAAGCACUUUCAUAUUGCUUUCACUUGGUCGAUGAAAGUAUCGUCCGCGAGCCAAGUAGGCGAGCCGUUCGUUUAUACAAGGUGACCGAGAAGAAACUUUGUAUUUUACGUUUCUUUCUUUCCUUUUUUUUUUCUUCUUCUAAUUUAAAGCAAAACUUUAAAUUUUCUCCUCCGAUUUUGAUUAAAUCGUUGCGUUUCGCUUCCACUCGAUUCCUAAGAUUUAUAGAUAAGAUAAGAUAAUCGGUUUCUUUUUCUUUCUUUCCCAUUUUAUCCCACUCUCAACGAUGAUUUCCAACGGUUUUAAUAACCGAGAAUUAAUUAAUACGCGGUUAAAAAAAAAACGAUAAACUUUUCUAAUUUGUAUGUAUGUACAUGAAAAAUCGUGAUAAUAUGAGUCACUCGUAAUUAUAGAACGUAAUUAACUUACUUAUUAUUAUUACGCGAUUAUAUUUAUGUCAGUUCGAUUAGAAAUAAAGGAAAAAGAAAAAAACGUAUCGUUGUAUGCAAAACUUUCUUUUUUUCUCGAGGCUACGAAAGUUUAUCGAAAUUCAUAUAUAUAUAUAUAUAUUAUGUGUGCGUUUGUGUGUAGGAAUAGGUGUGAAAUAUCACGACGAAUAAUUUCGUACAUGCUCUCUCGAACAUCCAUCCGAUACGAAUGGAAGCCGCCGUGUAACUGCGUACGGGCGAAACGUUACGUAUACAUUUUUCGUCCUCGAAAUUCGGAGGUCGAUAAACUUGUUUACGUAGCACAUGCCCCACCACCGCAUGCCCCAACCUUCUCGCGUAAUAGAUCGUGUCCUCUAUUCGAUCGCGAGACUCGUUACUAAUAAACACCAGAUAAGAGGAAGGUAAAUUAGGGGAGCUCGGUGCAUCGCUCCGUCACGUUUCGUUUAUCGAUCCGAUGCAUCGCCAAUUAGAUUACUAAUCCUGCGCGACCAUACGUUUCUCGACGAUACGUAUUAACCGCGAAAGUUUAUUAAUAAACGAGAAGUUUAAUUGCUUGGUGAUAAUAAUUAUUAACCUUAAUUAAAUGUGUGUAACCUUCUACGAAAGAAAGUAUGAAAAUAAAAAGAGAAGUUUACACGAUAAGUUUUUUCAAUAAAUUCCUUCCUUUGCAAAAUUUCUUUUUUUCUAAUAAAAAAAAAGGAAAGAAAAAAGGGAGAAGCGGAAAUGUUUAGAUAAAUCGCGAUUGUUGCCCCCUUUUUUUUUGUUCCAUUUAAUUUGCGUUCGAUUCACGGAUUAAAACGACAAUAUCCGGAUAUUAUAGACGGAACGAUUCGAUUACACGGGGACGUGGGCCAACGUUUAAUUCGACAACAACGGCGUCGCGCAAAGCCAAUUAAUUAACACUACGUCGCUAAUAAACGACACCCGUGAAAUUCGCUUGGGAAUCGAAUUAGAUAUCCCGUUGGAUCGACUCUGCGCAGAGUUCAACUUUCGCGUUGAUUGCUCGCGUUGCAGAAAGCGAGUGUGCCUCGGAGGACGAUUCUUGCGACGAAUCAAAACUGCGAGGAACACGUUUACGCAGCCUUUUACUCAACGAAAACGUUAUAUCCAAUAGGGAUGGUUCGAAAUUCUCCGCGAUGCAAAUGCCACGUUAUCCACGAAUAUCGCGUCAUCGCGGAUAAUGUAACACGGCCAAAUACCGUUUCGUUAUUAUUAAUAAUCCGCUACGGCUGAUUCACGUAGUGACGCAAAUGUCGCUAAUCACCCGUUGUAUACAACCAAUCGUUCGCCUCUUGGUUACGGUCUGCUCGCAAAGAAAACCAUUUACUCGCGGUAUUAUUUUUCCACCGCAGAAAACGGGGGAAUAAUUGGAAAAUUAUCUACAAGUCUUUCCCCCCUUUCCUAUCCAGGUGACUAAGCCUCCGACAUUCUUUCCUGUCUUCUUUUAAUUAUCUUUCCAGCCUCGUUGUAUCUCUCGAAAAAUAAUGUCGAAAUAUCUUUCUCCGCAUCGAAAUAAAUUUCCAGAUACCGUUUCUUCGCGGUACCGAACGAUCGAGAAUUUCUCGCGUGAGUUACCGAACGUGUCGAAUUCGUGUCUUUCGGACUCGAAAAGAAGCAAAGAUCCUAUUCUUCGUAUUUUUCUUUAUCUCUCGCGUUAAUCUAUAUCGGACGGUUUCAUCGACGGUUUCGAGCGUCGCUGAAACUGUCCGCGCAUGCGCGUCCAUCUGGCAUCGCUGUUUUGGAGAAGGGUGGGGAGCUGCGCACGCGGGCAAUUGAAAUGCAGGCGCACACGCUAUCUAAAACAUUCGCACGCGCAAUCCGGAUUACACCUGCAUCGUCACUAUUACUUGAACAGUUACACUUUCUCCUCCCCGACGUGUGUCCGAGGAAGAGAGAGAGAGAGAGAGAAAGCACUCGUAGUAGAACGGGAAAAUUAUGGUUGAAACGAGCUCCUCUUACCGGCGCGUUCAUCAUUCCAAAUGUCCAACUCUCUCCCUCCCCUCCCCUCCUUCUCCGCGCGGCGAUGUUGCGAACGAGCAUCGGCGUCGGAUGAAAAUAAUUCUUAGAUAAUACGGCAAGUUUCGCUCAACUUUGCGUUUCCAUAACCGAUCGCGAAUACAUUACGAAAGUGGCCGUGCGUAGAAAUCGAUCGACUCGAAUCGCGAUUUUUCGACUCCGAUUUUCCAUAUUUUAUUUCGCCCGAUCGAAUUAAAUCGAGAUAAGAUUUCGAGAUAAUUCCCGGAUAUCAUAUCGUGUCUGGAAAGAUAAAACGGCGAAAUAAUCGAGUUCGAUGGCGAUGAUGACGAGCUGAUGCAUAAUGCAUCGGCCGCUUUCUUGCGAAUCGUUGCAAACUCGAAGAUAACCGGCGUGUUACAUGUAAUUAUGAAUCACUCUGUUUGUUUCGUAUAAAACGCGAGUUUCAUAAAUUACACUUAAUAUUACGUCCACCACCUCCGAUGAAACUUUCAUUUUUCAUCAUUUCAACCAACGAUCCAGACCUCCCUUCCCUUCCAUUCUUCUCGAUCGAAAAGUCGAGUCGAAAAUUUCCCGGCGAGAGGAGGAAUCUCGAAGCCGAGGCUUGGACGAACAAUAACACGGGAGACAUUUAAUCGAAAGACAUCUGACCGUGGCGAGAAACCGGUCGAGCGCCAGGAUUUCGAAACGUGGAAGAAAGCUCGGCUCAAUCGAGAUAUCGAGGUCCCUUCGCGGCCUUCAAGAGGCGAUAAACGAGAGAAACGAGGUUUGGAAUCGUGAUUACGUUGCAACGCAAAUUUCCGUAUCGAUCCUGCACGUCAGAAGGCACGAAGAUUCGUUCAACCGGCGAGGCCGGGUGAGAACAAGCUUACAUAAAAAGUGAAGGUGACCGGCGGUGAUUCAUGGGGGCUGAUGCCCUCGUUGUCUGGCAUUCGGUUUAUAGAGGACGGAGGUGGAGCAAGAGGUGGAGGGUCCUUGCAACAGACUCGUCCAAGUGGCGCUCGCUUCACUCGGUCUACGACUCUUUGUUUUUCGUUAGCCGAAAUUAAGCUUUGUUUAUCUCCUAUCUCUCGUAAUUCUAUCGAAAUAAACAUUUUCUUCCC